rnacentral:misc_RNA from 1 species
AAGUCGUAACAAGGUAACCGUAGGUGAACCUGCGGUUGGAUCAUUAAAAAUUUCUUUGUGACCGCGCCGGAAUCCUGCUUCGGUGGGGAAGUACUGGUUUGCCAGUAUGACGGCGCGGGAUCAAAAAACACCCUGUGAACCAUUGAAAUGUCUAUUGGCGGUCGCGGUUUGUUCCAUCACUGCAGGGACCUUUAUCGGUUCUUUUAACCUCUGCUAGGAGAGGCUCUGGUGGCUGAAAGCUCUUAUUUGAGUGAAUCUGAUCGCGGUUCGCCAGCCUAGAUGAAAUACCAAAUAUUUUUUUAAUAUCUGACUUAUCAAAAUCUCUCUUAAUUGAAGAAACAAUGAGAAACAG